GGGAAUGUGGCUUAGUGGUAGAGUGCUUGCCUAGCAUGCACGAAGCACUGGGUUCGAGUCCUCACUACCA
rnacentral:tRNA from 1 species